AGGCCACUGCUAUUGGGAUCCGACUAAGCCAUGCGAGUCGAGAGGGUUCGGCCCUCGGCAGACUGCUCAGUAACACGUGGAUAAUCUACCCUUAGGUGGAGGAUACUCUCGGGAAACUGAGAAUAAUACUCCAUAGAUCCAGGAUGCUGGAAUGCACCUAGAUUGAAAGUUCCGGCGCCUAAGGAUGAGUCUGCGGACUAUCAGGUAGUAGUCAGGGUAAAGACCUGACUAACCUACGACGGAUACGGGUUGUGAGAGCAAUAGCCCGGAGACGAUAUCUGAGACACGAUAUCGGGCCCUACGGGGCGCAGCAGGCGCGAAAUCUUCACAAUGUGCGAAAGCACGAUGAGGGGAUCCCAAGUGUUGGUUCGUAAGAAUCAUCUGUUUCUUUGUCUAAAAAACAGAGAGAGUAAGAGCUGGGUAAGACGGGUGCCAGCCGCCGCGGUAAUACCUGCAGCUCAAGUGGUGGCCGCUAUUAUUGGGCCUAAAACGUCCGUAGCCGGUUUAGUAAAUGCUUGGGUAAAUUGUGUAGCUCAACUAUACGAAUACCGAGUAGACUGCUGAACUUGGGACCGGGAGAGGCUAGAGGUACUCCUAGGGUAGAGGUGAAAUUCUGUAAUCCUAGGGGGACCACCAGUGGCGAAGGCGUCUAGCUAGAACGGGUCUGACGGUGAGGGACGAAGCCCUGGGGCGCAAACCGGAUUAGAUACCCGGGUAGUCCAGGGUGUAAACGCUGCUCGCUUGAUGUUAGUUGGGCUCCGAGCCCAACUAGUGUCGGAGAGAAGUUNUUAAGCGAGCUGCCUGGGAAGUACGGUCGCAAGGCUGAAACUUAAAGGAAUUGGCGGGGGAGCACAGCAACGGGUGGAGCGUGCGGUUUAAUUGGAUUCAACGCCGGAAAACUCACCGGGGGCGACGGUUAUAUGAAGGCCAGGCUGAUGACUUUGCCAAAUUUUCCGAGAAGUGGUGCAUGGCCGCCGUCAGUUCGUACCGCAAGGCGUUCUGUUAAGUCAGAUAACGAACGAGACCCCUACCCCUAGUUGCCAUCAGGUCCUCCGGGACGCUGGGCGGGU
rnacentral:rRNA from 1 species